rnacentral:lncRNA from 1 species
UGGUAAUGGUUUGUUGAUUCAUCUUGAUUAUUGACUGGUUUUCACUUGUAGAAUCUCAACUAUAGUCUAGUGGGUUUCUUUCUUUCUUUUUCUAUUUUCUUCUUUUGUUGGGGGUGAAGAUGUAGAAGAUGUUGCUUAAAUUUGAAUUGCCUUUUAGUAUCACUGUUUGCUUACAUGAACAGCUCGUAUGUCCUAAAAUGAAAUGAAACCUCUAUAUCUAGAUGGCCUUCCAAUAGGAAGUACAUAGUAAAAUAGCACAAUUAGGCAGGAUUUAUAGUCUAGACCAAUAGAGGGAAAUCUCGUUGUUCAUACUCUUAUAUAAUGUACAGACAUAUUUAAUUGUUCCAAGGGGCGCGCUGUCUUAGAUUUAGUUCAGAGCAGAAGUUGCAACCACUGCACAUAAAUGAUUUGUUAGCUUGUGGAGUGAGUUAGGAGUAAACAGAACAUAAGGAUGUUUAUUUGGGGCCUUUUACAUAGUUAAGUCAGAAUUUUCUUUCCAAAGUCUUCAGAUAGUCUAGUUUUUGAAUGGAAAUAGGUAGAUAGGUGUACUAGUUCGACUGCAAGUGUCUUCAGUUCACUCACAAACUUGUGGAGUGAACUCUUCUUCCAACAAGGUUUGGAUAUAGUAGUUUGAUCAGUGUUUAAUUUUUGAAGACUUGUUAUAUUUUUUUUUGAGACAAAAGACUUGUUAUAUUUUCUUCAAAAAUAUAUGCAACACUCUCCAAAUUGUAUGUUACUUAGUUUACCUGUGUUAGACUUAGAAGAGCUUAAAUGGGGAACAUGGAUGGUGGAGAUUCAUUUAGCUGACCCCAAGGUUCAGCAGUAUGAAAACUAAAGAACCGUACUGGAUUUAUUAUUGAACUUCACUCUUACCACCAAGUUUGUGUUAAUAGAUGAAGUAAGUGCGGUGGGAGACUGUCACAUCUAAAAACUUGGGAGGACUUGGAAUUAAAGAACUAAAAGUAUUUAAUAAAGCAUUAUUGGGCAAAAAUAUGGAGGUUUGGGGUGGAAUUACAAGAUUGGAAGGGGGUGAUAGUGGACAAAUAUGGGAUUACAGAGGGGUUUGGAAAACUAGAGAUAUUGUUUUGCCUUUUGGUUGUGGUUUGUGGAGGAAUAUCAUAAAGGGAUGGGAUUAUUUUGUGGAAAAUAUCUCACUCAAGGUCGGAGAUAGGAGGAGAGUUUACUUAUGGAAACAUAAAUGGAGUGGAAACGUAUUAUUGAAAGACAAAUUCCAAAGUUUGUACAUAAUUUCUUGCCAAAGAGACUUGACAGUCUGACAUAUUAGGGAGGACACUAGGUGGAGAGAAUUUUUUGGGAUUUGAGAUUUAGAAGAGGUUUUCAAGAUUGGGAAGUGAGUGAGUUUCAAAGAUUGAUAGACUUACUCCAUAGGCAAACUAAUCCAGUGGAUAUUCUCGAUGUUUGGUGGUAGGGCUUAGUUAACAAUGGAGUGUUCUCUGUGAAGUCUUUUUAUGAGAAACUUGUAGUCAGGGAGGAGAAUGAUUUCCCACGUGAUGCAGUAUGGGUUCCAAGUGUGCCGAGGUAGUGUGCAUUUUCUCUUGGCUAGCUACUAGAGGGGUGAUUUUGACAGCAAAAACUCUUAGAGAGCGGAGAGUUAUCUGAAUCAGUUGGUGUUACAUGUGCAAGGAGGAGGGUGAGGAUGUGGACCAUCUGCUUCUUCAUUGUGGAAUUACCAUGAAACUAUGGUGGCAAAUGUUUAAGUGGUUUUUCACCUCUUGGGUAAUGCCAAGAACUGUGAAAGAGUUGGUGUUCAGUUGGAAGAAUGGGAGAAGGAGGAGAAGAUGAAGGACUUGGAACAUGGUUCCUCUUUUGUUGAUGUGGGUAGUUUGGAGAGAGAGAAAUAGAAGAGAUUUUGAAGGAGUAGAAUCGAGUCUCCUUUAUUUUCUUUUGGUGGAAAUAGAAAGUACCUUGUUGUAUAGAUGAUUGGGCGGAGUUUGUAGAGAAUUAUAUUUUGUAGAAUCUUUAUCUUAUGGUAUGCCCCUUGUAUAAGUCCAAAUGUUUAUGAAUGAAAAUACCUUUUGAUCCCAAAAAAAAAAAAGAGCAAAUGUGUGGAAAAUAUAAUUCCCUUUACCCUUACAUGUUACCAUUUCAAAAAAAAAAAAAAAAAAAGCCCUUAACACUUUCCUUAUUAAAAGUUUUUACGUUCAGUUUCAUGAUAUUCUCUCCUAUUUGGUUUCUGCUCUUGUGAACUUUGAUCUAUCAAUUGCUAUUCAUCUGAAAGAGAUCAAUAUGCUCAUCUUGCCACUAUACUGGACACCUUUCACUUAAUCUUAAGCAUGUUAAGUUUUGAUUUCGUCAAGUAAUCCAGAUUAUAUAAAUUAGUGAUCAUUUGAUAAUUGGUUAAGAAAGGUGACUUAACUGAACAAUAGCUAUAUACUGUUGGGUUUUAACAGGAGAUAACAUAUACUAAUUCUAGUCAACAGAAUCGAUGUAUUAAAAGACUGAUUUUUUUUGUGAAAUAAUCUAUACCCAAUAGGCCAAAAAGUAUACUGAAUAUUUUAUGAAAUAAUCCAUAGAAACAAUCUGGUUUUGGCUGGUUGCAUGACCUCCAGUCAGGAUUGGUACAAACAGUUUAUUCAGAAAUAUCUGUGACACUUCAGAUCUUGGGCUAGCUUGAAGCAUUGUCUGGAAAAUCCUUGAGUAUGUCAGUGUAUGUGUGUAUAUUAUUAUGAAAUGUCUGCAGAGUUGAGUGAGUUAAGAAUUUUUUUUGCAGGCUCCAGUUUUGGAAAAAUACCCAGCAAGCAUAUCAUUGACAGCAUAUUCUUACUCUUUUGGCGUUCUAUUAAUGAUAGGGACGUCAUUCUUUGCGACUGAUGGAUCAACAAACUGGUAUUUGACACCAUCUGAAGUUGUUGCUGUGUUCUAUGCUGUAAGAUUCUCUUAAGCCUGAUCUUCAUUUUUCGCUGAUGCAUGAAAUGAGAUUUUAUUUAUCUUUGAUCAAGUCUCAAAAUGAUUUACCUCACAUAAAAAAGAAAGGCAUAAUACAUAAAUAUGUCCUUUAACUUGGCUUCAACUCACAUUUAUGCCCUCCAACUUUGAGUGUGCACAAGUAGACACUUAAUCUUGUAUAAAGUUGAGUAAAUAAACACACACGUCCUACGUGGCUUCCUACAUGGCAAUUUGCAUCCUCGUGGUGUCCUACGUGUAUUAUGCCACAUAGGAUCCAUGCGUCUACUGGAUCAACUUUAUACAAGUUUAAGUGCCUACUUGUGCACAUCCAAAGAUGGAGGGCAUAAAUGUGAAAUGAGGUCAAAUUAAAGGGCACAUUUAUGUAUUAUGCCAAAAAGAAAUCUGAGACGAUAUACAAAAAUUCAAGAAAUGUGAUACCAGGUAUAAUUUGCUUUUUUUUUUGGUAAGUAAAUAUUUUAGUCAUCACCAAAGUAUUGAUUUUACAAGACCACAGCCAAUUAACACAUUGGCUGUCUAAGAGCAAAAAAACAACAAAAACACCCCUGUUACUGAAGAAAAGCAAACUUGACUCGCCUCCUAGGGAGGGUCUCUAGUUCCUUUUAGAUAACAGGUAACUCAACUACUAAGAAAAGCAAAUACACUAGGGAUAGUGCUAGAAAUGACACUGAUGCAGUAGUUGUUGUAUGGGAGUUGAAGCUCGAAUAUUACAAGUGAAGGCAAUCUCCCUGGCAAUGCUUUUCAUUGAUCGACACUUAUCUUCAAAUACUCUUUGGUUUCUCUCCUACUAGACAGGAUGUACAUAUUCUGCAUAUACCAGUUUGAAAACAGGAGCUUUGUGAGAUCUCCCUUUGGCCUGCAUAAUUGCACAGUGCAUAUGAUCAGUCCAGUCUCUUGGCCUACAAGGUGCUCUAUGGAGCCAUCUUAAAGUCUAUCCCAUAGACUCUUGGCGAAGGGACAGCACAUAGAGAUGAUCUCUUGUCUUUAGUGUUGCUUGACAAAACACACACCAUGUUUCAAUUGAUCAAUCUAUCCUUUGUGAGCAGCCUACCUUGGAAAUUAAGCCACAUAAUGAAGAUAGACUUAGCUCUUGCUUCAUUCCUGAACAUGAAACAUUUUCAAGACACUUAUAUUGUCCCCUAGCAGGUGCAGAUACACUUGUCUAAUAAGACUCUUCCUGUUCAAAUUGUGGAGUUGACUGUGAUUCACAACACUUAUUUAAAUGAUUUUCUUAACAUAUCAUCAAUUUUUCUGACCCUUUAUGUAAAGCAUAUGAAUCCACUUCAUCCACAUAACAUCUUGUUUGUGUGUCGAAUCCCAGAAGCUCUCGCGUAGGACAGCCUUAUUCCAGAGCUUGAGAUUGAUCAGGUUAAUUGUUGUUGUUAAAAUCAUAAUUAAGUACACGGUGCUCUCUCCCAACAACUUAACUUUUUUCACGAGGUGGUCAAAUAAUUUAACAUGGUAUGAAAGCCAAGACCUAUCCCUAGAACGUGGUCCUUUUUUACAAGUGGAGUGAUCUAAUUUUCUCUUGAACUAUGCAAAAUGAUCCAGAUUUACCCUUGAACUUUGAAGAACAGGGUCAAUACUGUUCAUACUUCCUUCCACUAAGUUGCUAUUUUAAUUUGCGAUCAUCAAUGCAUCAUGUUUUAAAUUAGCUUCUGAAUGUUUCAUAGUGGAUUCUCAUUCAUCUGUCUAUAACAUCUCAUCCCAUAUGGUAAGUAUGUAGAUGGACACACUUUUUAGUUGGGAUGAAAUGAAAUAGUUUCGUCAUAAUGGUUAAUGUCUUUCAGGGAAUUGUUGCAUCAGCGCUGAACUACGGACUUAUGACAUGGUGCAAUAAGGUUCUUGGCCCUUCUUUAGUUGCUUUAUACAAUCCACUUCAACCUGCUGCAUCAGCAAUUUUGUCUAGUAUUUUUCUUGGGAGCGCUAUUUAUCUGGGAAGGUUAGUGCUCUGAUUUAUUCUGAAUGUCUAUCAUGCUCCGAAAAAAGCAAAACAUUUAUAUCCGUCUAUGUUCUCAUAUCUUUGGUUUAUACUUGUUUUGUCACAAUGAGAACCAAAAAGACAUGAGGGUAAUGUGAAGCUCUCCUGCUGGAAAUUUGCCAUGUUUUCUUUCUGAUUUACUUUCUUUUGGAGAUUGGUUCAUGCGAAACUAUGAAAUGUUCCACUUGCUGAGUUGCAUAUGAUUUUUUCUUUCCGGUCCAUCUUCUAGUUGUUCGUUGUUAGCCUUUGUUCUAAGAUAUUUCCGUGCAUUGUGAUUGCAGCAUUUUGGGAGGAGUUCUCAUUAUAGCUGGGCUUUAUUUAGUAACUUGGGCAUCUUACAGAGAGAUGCUGGCAGCCAAGGGAACUGUUCCUCAUGCGCCUCAGAUGACGGAUCCCCUAAUCCCAUAUCAGACAGGACACAUUACCUCUGUUCCUUCUUCCUCAGUGCCAUAGAUCAGUGAUUAGAUAUUGCUGCAGAUAUUAUUUGCAUGUCCUUUUCUUCAUCUUCUUUAUUAUAAUAUGUAAGUUCACUGCUAAAAAGAAUGACAGUUAUGUAUUGCAGUUCUAUCAAGUUCUUAAGUAAACUCUUCCUGCAGAAAUUUUCUUCUCAUGUUCGUGUCUUUUUUUUUUUCACCCUUCCUAGGAGCUCCCCACCCCUUUUGCUCCCUUGGUGACUUGAACUCGCAACCUUCGAAUUGGAAGUGAGGGGUGCUUACCAUCCGAACAACUCCCUCUCGUCCAUGUUCCUGUCUUGUUUCACUGCCAACAAUUUUAUUUCAUUUACUAUUUUUUACUCAAAAGCACCAGAUUCUACCAAAAUGGUCAUUCCACCAUCACUCGAUUAUAAAGGGUUGGAACACUCUCUGAAAUCUAUCUUGAUGUGAUGAUAAGAUGGAUAGUAUUCAAGGCUAGUCUAUUAAUAUGAUAUUUGUGACAUUGCUUGCUCAAAUAGUAAGAUUUAAGAACACAAUUUUUUGAUUAUGCAAUUUAAAUAACUUAUCUUGAUAAUGUUGUUGAGUUUAUAUUUCAAGUCUUUAAUGAUUAUUGUAUAUUAACCAAAUAACAAUUGAAUAUUCUGUUGCUCGUGUUCAUACUCAAAAUUGUCUAGAAGAAUCAUUUAUCAAAUGACUCUAAUUAAUUGCUAGACAAUUGUUUGUGAGAAUAAAAUUUUCAAUUUCGAUAUGAGGGCAUGCUCUAAAAAUUUCAUUUAUGGCAUUAUGAUUAUUGUAUCUUAACUUUAAUACAAGGAUUAUAUUAGCGAGUGCUUAUCCUUUUUCAAUUCAAAAAAGAUCAAUAAAUACAAGUAUUUUUCUAUUUUAUUAGACUUCUUUUUAUUGUUAUCUAAAUGAUAAUUUAGUGAUGAAUUAGUAUGAUUUUAUAUAUAUUACCUAUAUUAUGAGUUUAAAUGUAUAUGGAAUUUUAUUUUAUUUUAAUUGAUAUUACCUAUAUUAUGAGUUUAAAUGUAUAUGAAAUUUUAUUUUAUUUUAAUUGAUAAAAUGACAUUAAAAAGGAAAAAAUUACAUCUUACUUUUUUAUCCGUUAAAGAAUUUUUCUAUAUAUAUAUUUUUUUAAAGUAAAUAAGAAAAAUGUUCUUUAAAAACUAUAUUGUUAUCAAGAAAAAAAAUAUACUUUAAAAAUAACAAUAUAUUUAUGAGAAAAGGAUACAUAUAACCCAUAAAAUAGCAAUAUGUUUGUCAAGAAAAAAUAUUUUUGACCCAAUACAAUAGUAAGAUACAUUUUUGAAUCAAAUCAUUAAAAAGGACAAUUUUAUUGAAUAAAUGGCACAGCAUGACAACCUAUAGAAUAAAUUGGCAAAAAAUAGCCCAUUUUUAAUUUAUUGGCAAAAAAAGGACUUUCUUUUAUUUAUUUGGUAUUCAAUAGUUAUUUUGCUUUUUCUUAAAAAUUGUAUUUCUAUUCCCCUUAUUUUUCUCUAAACACGUUUGAUUGCUUCCUUUUUUUUCUUUGAAAAGGUAAAAAUUUUAAAUGUUUUAUUUAUUCCUUUUUUAUCUCUCCUUUUUGUUUGUCAACCAUUUUAAAAUAGACUUCUUUCUCUUUUUUGUCUCCUUUAUUUUCUUUCUAGAAUUAUUUUUAUAUGUAUAUUUGUUUCUCUCCCAAUUUUUUUAUUUUUCUCCUUAAUUCACUUUGUUUAUGAAAAUCAGAUAUAACAAUAUGUUUAUUCAUGGAUACUUCUAAUAAUACUAUUUUAUAUAUAAUUUUGUGCUUGUCCAAUUAAUUGUUGAAUUUCAUGAUUUGUGGAAUUGAGGUUUCUUCAAUUUUGUUUUUGCGAAAAUUUAGGUUAUUAAUCCUUUUUUUUAAUUUUUAAAUUUCUAAAAAUCUUUUUCACAUGUAUAUUUGUUGCUCUUCUAAUUUUUUUCUUAUUCUCCUUAAUUUACUUUGUUUAUGCAAAUCAGAUGUAUGUUUAUCCAUUGGUCCUCCCAAAAUCUUCUUUUAAUAUAUAAUUAUGUAGUGUUUUUUUCCACUUAAUUUUGAAAUUUUGUGAUUUGUGAAAUUAAAAAAAUUUAAACUUUUUUUUUUUGCAAAAAUUCAGGUUAUAGUAUUUGGAAUUUUUGUUUUCAAUUUCAUGGGUAAUAAAUGUUGAUUUUGAUGAAUACAAACCAAUGUAUACCAAUAAAUGUCAAUUUCAAUUUGAAUAAAUGUAUACAAAUUUAUUAGGUAAAUACAGACCAAUGAAUACAUAAAUGAAUACGAACCAAUGUAUACAUAGUGCAGUUACCGUAUACAUAACAAAAAAUCUACAUGUACAAAUAUAUGAAUAAAAUUUAAUUUGUACAUUUAUCAUAUUAACUUCAUUCUUGUAUUCAUUAUAGUUAUAACCUACAAUUGUUGGUAACAUUCUUAUGUAUACAUUAUAAGUUUAUGUAUACAUGCUACAGUUAUUGUAUACAUCAAUAAAAUUUACACGCCUAUAUUUAUGAAUGAUUUUUUGUGUAUACAUAUAGAUUUUUUUUAUGUAUACAUUAUGUAAUUGCAACUUCAAUUAUUUUAUAAUUUUUGCAUACGUGUUAUUACAGUUUCUAAUAAAAAGCAUUGCCUCUUAUAUUAUUUGAUUACUUAUUGUCAAUUAUUUGAUAAUUAAUACACGUUAAUUGAGCACUAAUAAUAUAUAUUUUUUACUUUAAAAGUAGUCGCCGUCUUUUGAUAAGUUAAUUAAAGAAUUAAAAAAAUCCUUCCUUNNNNNNNNNNNNNNNNNNNNNNNNNNNNNNNNNNNNNNNNNNNNNNNNNNNNNNNNNNNNNNNNNNNNNNNNNNNNNNNNNNNNNNNNNNNNNNNNNNNNNNNNNNNNNNNNNNNNNNNNNNNNNNNNNNNNNNNNNNNNNNNNNNNNNNNNNNNNNNNNNNNNNNNNNNNNNNNNNNNNNNNNNNNNNNNNNNNNNNNNNNNNNNNNNNNNNNNNNNNGUUUGAGAAUUUAAAGAAACUGAAAAGUUAACUUCCUUAAUUAUAGGAGUUAAAAAUAAGGAAGAAAAAAUAAUCCCACAUCUCCUUAAUUAAUGCUGGUUGGUUGCACAUGGUUUUAAAAAAAAAACUAUAAAAAGUCGUUAUAUUCCUUUAGGCUAUUACGUGCUUCUUCUUUUUUUGGACUAUUAAUUGCUAAUUAAUAUUGGGCUAUAUGUUGCCAAUUGUAUAUAGUAGUUGUAUGUCUGUGUCAAUUCCUCAAUUUUAUUCAUGGAUUUCUUAUUAUUUUCUCAAACAAGUCACCUUUGACAAUGGAAUUUUGUAUGUGGAACAACUUUUAACCUCAAAAUAGGAUUAGCUUCGUUAUCACUUAUCACAAAAUAGGAUAAUUGGAGUGAGGAGAGGAUUAGUGGUCGAACUCCUUAUUAAAGAUUUUUUCAUAUUCAAAAAAUUGAUCUUCCAUUGGACCACAUUAUUUAGCCAUAUUUUUUAUAUUGAGAAAUCCGAUCAUCCACAUCACAUAAUUAAACUUAUUCCUCUACCACAUAGUAGUGACCCAAGGGUCCUAUAGCAAUGGUACCAUAGAGUAUAUAUAGCCAUAUAAAAGCCAACUACUUUAAUGGAAUUUACUGCGCAAACAAAAAGGGGCCACAUAGGAAAAAAUAAUCCCACCUACCGGAUUAAAAAUAAUUUCAUAUUGUCUCACUAGUUAAUAAUUUUAUACUAGAUUUUUAUUCAAAUACAUCUAUACAUAAUUUUUGCGAUUAGAUACGCUGAAAAUAGGGAGAGGAGAGGGAGAACGGGAGGGAGGCGAGCGAGAUUUAUCUAUGUAUCUCAGAAAGACAAAAACAUACAAAUCUCAUUAGAUACAUGUAUCUGGGAUAUCAUAUACGCGAGCGAGAUAGGAAAGUGGCAAGCGAAAUAGGAGGGAGGUGAGCGAGAGUUGUUUAUAUAUCAUAGAUACAUGUGAAUUCACUUAGAUACAGUAUAUCUAGAACAAGUUAUACCUAAUUUUGACUUAUGUAUUCAAGAUACAUGUAUCUGGACACACCAGAUACAUGUAUCUAAAGUCUAAAAUCUGAUAAGAUUUGUAAUAUUACAUGCAUGUAUCUAAGUAAUUAGCUUCUCAAUUAGUGAGAUUUCGAUAAGUUACUCGUGAAAAUCAAUAGAAAAGUUACACACAAAUUGAUAUAAAAGAUGCUAGGUCUGUUUAUUUUAAGGGCAAACAUGAAGAAAAAUAAGAAGACAGCAUUGAUGAACCAAUAGAUUUUAGUUAAAUUCAACUCAUUAAUUAUUUGACAAAAAAAUAAAAAAAAUGUUUACUUUUGAUAAGUUUAGAAGAUGAAAAUUGCUCAAAGCAUAUUUAGGAGACUAAUUUUGAACUUGCCCCUGAAUGUAAGAGAUCAUUUUUUUGUUAUUUUCUUAUACGGUCAAACUUUAAUAUAAAGUAAAUACUUGAUAUACCUCUUAAUUUUGUCAUUUAAAGUUGUUAUUAUCCCUCGUUAUAAAAGUGACUUAUAUAUAUUCAUACAAUUACAAAAGUAAAAAAAUUAAUUUUAAACUCAUUUUUUUAAUUUUUUAGAAAAUCUUGUAUUUAAUUUAUCACAUAUAAAUUAUUUUUUGACUUCUUUAAUUAUUCUUAUUUUAAUUAUUCUUUCAUCAUUUAGUUUAAAAUUUAAGAGAAAUAAAAAGAAAGAAAUGUGAAUGGAAAAAGAUUAAAAAGUUUUUAAAAAAUUAAAAUUAAUUUUUUUUUGGAUAUAUAUAUUGUAAUUUAGUUUUUAUAUCUGUAAAAAUAUAUUUGGGGCAUCUAUAAUAAAUUUUACAAGAAAAUAAGUGAAAAAUAAAUUUGAUCAUCAAAAUAAUAAAUUCAAAUAGCAUAAAAAAAUGUAAGAGAAAAACCAAAUACCCCUUAUAUGGAUUAUCUUUCUUUUUAAUUAAAAAAAAUAAAAAGUAAAUUUAAAAUUAUUAUUUUCACUUUCAUUAGAGGAAAAUGGUAUAUGUGAGUCAUUUGUGUACCAAUAGGAGUAUAUGAUCACAUUCAUAACGAGAGAUAUAUCAGCUCUAAAUAACAAAGUUGUAUAUUAGGUCCUUUUCCCUUAUUAUAAAGCAUUUAAUAAUUUUUCCGUACGAAAAGAAAGAAAGUAUUUGUUAACUAAUUUAAUCAAGUAAAAUUAUUAUAGUAUGAACGUAAAAAAAAUGCAAACACCAGUAAUCUUUCCUCGUUAACUAUGAUUAAUGACUAAUAGACAUCAUGUAAAUACAAUUUCUUUUUCCUUUUAAAUAUUUAUAUUUAAAAUUAUCGUGUGCAUCACAUUAAUAAUAAUUAUAAUAAAUAUUUUAAUAUAAAAUAUUAUUAUACAAUAUUUGAGUAUGAAAAUCAUGGCCGUUAGUUGUUGGUGUACUAUAUAUAUAGGGUGUGUGUUGAGUGCAUGAAAUCAUGAUUUUUUAUUGUUCAAAAAAUCUUUUAUACUAAAAUGAUUAGGAUGUGUUAAGAUGACAUGUGAAUUCCAGUAUCGAUUUUUCUUUUAAUUAUCUUUUGUAUAUACAUACACUCGUUAACAAAUUAUUCUUUAUCUAUAUAAAUUCAACCGAUCUAACAUACACCUCAAGUUAAUCUUUUUACUAGUGAUACGUUUUGUAUAAAAAAUGACAUUCAUAACAUUCAAAUUAUGAAUCCACAUCUAAAAUAAAAAUCGAGUCACGAAGAAAAAUUAAGGAAGAGAAAGGAAAAAGAGGGAUAGAGAAGAGAAGAGCGAAAGACUCCCUCCGGCAAAAAUAUCUUUGUCAGUAUAUUUUUUUGGUUCCAUUUUUUAUGAGUUAGUUUGAUUUGACACAACAUUUAAGAAAGAAAGAUUUUUGAAACUUUUGCGGUCUAAAAUAAGUGAGAGAUAUUUGUGUGACAAUAAAUUAUUUCAUUAAAGGUAAAAUGAGUAUUUAAAAGUUAAAAAUUGUUUGUUAAUAUAAAAAUCUGUCAUUCUUUUUUAGAUUGACUAAGAAAUAAAGUGAGUCAUAUAAAUUGAGACAGAAAAAGUAAAAAGGAAGAUAAAUUUAAAACCAGACACUUUGGAAGAUGCCAGACAUCAUUUCUUGAUAUUUAAGGGGUUAUUUUUUAUUUAUACAUACUUUUAGAAAACCCUCAUGCCUUCUCUGGAGACAGAGAUCUUACUGCUACCUCCGAGUCUGACAAUUUAGUUUUCUAGGUAAGUUUGAGUCUAUUUUCAAAUUGAUGUGAUUUCCAUUGUAACAUUCAUAUAGUUUAUCAACUAUAUUGCACCUAUAAAAACAGCAACUUUAAUGGAAUUUAGUACACAAGACAAACAAGGGAGCCACAUAGGAAAAAAUAUUAAGUUUGAAUAGGGGUCCACAUUCUGUCAAAAAUUAAGUACUCUUGUCCCUAAUGACUCGUUCACUUUUGAAUUGACACAUUUAUUAAGAAAAUAAUUAUUGACAUAAUAAGUUUAUCAUUUUACCUCUAUUAAUUAUAAAGUGGAUGGAUUAAAAAUUUAAGAUUUUUAAGAAAUUCUACCUUUUUCAAAGUAAUUAAUUGAGAGUAUAGUAAGUAAAAUUAUUUUGUCCUUUCUUGAUUUGUCAAAAUGGACAAGUAAUUAUGGACAAGUAUGAAAGGAAAAGUGGACAAGUAAUUAAGGAGUUGAUUUGUCAAAUUGGAUAAGUAAUUAGGGACAACUAUGAAAGGAAAAGUGAACAAAUAAUUAAGGAGAGGGAGGGAGUAUUAUUUUUGUCAUUAAUUAUUGUUGACAAAGAUAAAAAAAGCAUAUUUAGGAGACUAAUUUUGAAUUUGCCCCUAAAUGUAAGAGAUCAUUUUUUGUUAAUUUUUAAUACAUUCAAACUCUAUUUUAUAAUGAUAUUUCAUAAUUUUUCUCUUCAAAAAAGAAGGAAAGUAUUUGUUAAUCAAUUUAAUCAAGAAAAAUCCUUAAAGUACGAAUGUAAAAAUAAAGAUAGACACCACUGGUCUUUUCCUUGUCAACUAUGAUUAUUGACAUCAUGUAAAUACAAUUUUUUCCUUUUAGAUAUUUGUAUACUGAAAUUUACCGUAUGCAUGACAUUUUGAUGAUUUUGAGGAAACAAUAACACUCUUGAAUUUGACACAAAUUAUUAAUUUCGUCCUCAAAUGACAGCCGUAAAAACACCUUUGAUGCACUUCCGAUAUGCCACAUGACAUAGAAAGUGGUCUCAAACUCUUGUAGGAGCAUGUAAUUCUUAAUAAAAACCGAGAAAAGUGUUGAAAACACCUCUAAACUUGACGAGAAUUUAAGGGUGUAUUUCACUAAUGUUACAAGAUCGAGGAUGUAUCAUGCUGUUAGUUGUUGGUGUGCUAUAUAUAUAGAAGGGGUGGGGGGUGGGGGGUUGUGGAGUGGAUGAAAGAAAAAUGGCAGUAGGAAAUGGUGGUGAUGUAUGGAAAGCCCAUGGUGCAAUGGUUUUGGUACAACUUGUCAUUGGUGUUUACCAUGUGAUUACUAAGGUGGCUCUGGAUUUGGGCAUAAAUGAAAUUGUCUUCUGUUUGUAUAGAGAUCUUAUUGCUAUAUCUAUUCUUGCCCCAAUUGCCUAUUUCCAUGAAAAGUUAGUUCUUUUAUCUCUUUACAUAUAUUCCUUCCCCUUUUUGUUGUUUGCCUUAAAUCUGCAAUAUUUUUAGGUGAAGAUGAGGUGUAUUGGAGUAUCGGGAAAACAUAAUCAAUGUAAGUUACAAUAUUUCGAAAAGUAAGUUACAAUAUUUGGAAUUAUAUGAGCAUCACUCACAAAUGUAUAUAUGUUUUAUGUUUCUCUAUGUAUAGGAGGUCGAUGUCUCCUCUGAAUAAACGGCUAGUACUGUCAUUCUUCAUUUUAGGAUUAACUGGGUAAGUUUCGAUGUCCAAAGCAUGUAUAUUUGGAUUUGUUUUGUUAAUUUUCUUAGUUUUGUUAUACUUGAUAAAAGCCUAUUCAUGAAAAUGCCUUUUGGUAUUCUGACAGUAUUUUCGGUAACCAACUAUUGUUUCUUGUUGGUCUUGGCUACACAAAUCCGACUUAUGCUGCUGCUUUUCAACCUUCAAUACCAGUCUUCACGUUCAUACUUGCUGUACCCACGGGGUCAGUAAACAUUCAAAUCCCUUCAUCUCUUGAUUUUGGUUUAUAUGGUGCUGUUUUCGAAACAUUUGAGGUGAAAGAGUGUUUCUGUUUGUGCCAAAAACAACUUAGGUGCUCCUUUAUUUAUUGCAACUGCCAAACCCCCUAGUGAUAUUGUCUGUUCUGGUCCUAGAGCCCCAUGGCUUUAAAACGCGCAACUAGAGUGUAAGGCCUGCUUACUUAUACACCCAACAUCUCUUCUGUGUCAAUGUAUAAUUAUCUGAAGUAGUGAAGUGGAUCACAGAGAACAUGGGCCAGUCCAUUGUGCAUUUCUAGUAGACCUUCUCAACAUCAUUCAUAUUGUGUUAUUUAUGCAGUACAGAAACUACAAAACUUCUUACUGUGGAAGGUCAGACAAAAGUUGGAGGUACCAUCGUUUGUGUUUCUGGGGCUUUUCUAAUGGUUGUAUUCCGUGGUCCAAUGGUGUUUGGAGACGGCAUAUCAGAUUUCACAGCACAAAUUGAGAUAAGUGCUAAGGGUCAAUCAGAGCCUGCUGGAUGGCUACUAUCUAGUUUUCUGGUACUUGAUAAUUGGCACCUCGGCGUUUUAUGCUUAAUAAUGAACUGUAUGUGUGUGGCAGCAUACUUAGCUCUUCAGGUAAUCAUUAAUUUGGAUAGACUUGAUUGGAAUAAAUAGCAGACCGUUCUCAACGAUUAUACUGAAAGGCUAUGCACGAAAACAAACUGAUAUGAAAUGUAUCUGAGUAAAGAAUUUUUUGCAGGCUCCAGUUUUGAGAGAAUACCCGGCAAGCAUAUCAUUGACAGCAUAUUCUUACUCUUUUGGCGUUGUAUUAAUGAUAGGGACAUCAUUCUUUAUGACCAAUGGAUCAACAAGUUGGUAUUUGACACCAUCUGAAGUUGUGGCUGUGUGCUAUGCUGUAAGUCCCAAUCUUCAUUUUCGUUGAUGCAUGAAAUGAGUAGAAAAUAGUUUCGUCAUAAUGGUUAGUGUCUUUCAGGGAAUUGUUACAUCAGGGCUGAACUACGGACUUAUGACAUGGUGCAAUAAGGUUAUUGGCCCUGCUUUAGUUUCUCUAUACAGUCCGCUUCAAGCUGUUGCAACAGCAAUUUUGUCUAGUAUUUUUCUUGGAAGCGAUGUUUAUCUGGGAAGGUUAGUGCUUCUGACUUGCUUUCUUUUUUUAGAUUGGUUAUGAUCUUUCAUUUUUACAUUCCAUCUUCUAAUUAUUCAUUGCAGCAUUUUGGGAGGAGUUCUCAUUAUAGCUGGGCUUUAUUUAGUAACUUGGGCAUCUUACAGAGAGAUGCAGCCAGCCAAGGGAACUGUUCUGACGGAUCCCCUAAUUCCAUAUGAGAUCAUAGGACACAUUUCCUCUGUUCCUUCUUCUUCUUCGAUGCCAAAGAUCAAUGACUAGAUAUUGCUACAGAUAUCAUUUGCAUCUUCUUUAUUAUAUAUAUAAGUUCACUGCUAAACAGAAUGACAGAUAUGUAUCAAGUUAUUCUACCAAAACAUGUUUUAAGUAUGAAAGUUUUGUAGUCAUCAUUGAUAUUCCUUCACAAGAGAAUCUGAGUAACAAAACAAGAAAAACAUAUAUAGUUGCAAUCUAUGAUAGGCAGUUGCAUAGUAACAGAUCCUCAAAAUGGUCAUUCCACCGUCACUCGAUUACAGAGGGUUAAAACUCUCUCUGAAAGCUAGCCCUGUUGAUACGAUGAUAAAAUGGCUAGUCUAUCAACUUGACAUUUGGGAUAUUGUUUCUUCAAAUAAUAAGAUAACACAAUUUUCAGUGCGAUUUACUUAAUCCGUUUUUGAUAAUAUAGGUGAAUUUACAUCUCAAGUAUUUAAUAAUUAUUGUAUGUCAAAUGGAUAGCAACUGAACAUCUUAUUGCUCAUGUUCAUAUUAAAAAUGGUCUAGAAGAUUUAUUUAUCAAACAUCUCCGAUUAAUUGCUAGACCAUUGCUUGAGAACAAAAUUUUUCAUCUUAUAUUAAUUAUAUUAUUUACUCGCAAAAUUGUUUAUUUAUUUUUAAAUGUGAACUGUAACAAUAAAGUUUUAUGACAUAAAAUCAUCAUUUAACAUUUAUAUUAGUUAUUAUAGUACCAAAUUAUUAAGAUAAAUAACGAUAUCUAUGAAACUGAUGAACAACAUACUCAAAGGUUUUAUUUAUGCUAUAGUUCAUGGACUUCUUUUCACAUUUAGUUAAGUGUUCCUGUUGUUCAAAAAAAGCUUUUACUCAAAUGAUUAAAAUUUGUUCGAAUAACGUAGGAAUUGCAGUAUUGAUUUUUUUAAUUAUUUUUUUUGUAUUAUAUACCCUUUAAUGAAUUAUUAUUUUAUAACUGAAUAAUAUAAAUUGAACUAAUCUAACGUACACCUCAAGUUAAUUUUCUUGCUUGCAGUAGAUUUAUAAUAAAGUUGAUAUUUAUAAUAUUUAAAUUCUAAAUUCGUCUCUGAAAUAAUAAUUGGAUCAUAAAGGAAAAUGAAGGAAAGAGAGACACAAGAAGAAGAAAAGCCAGAGGUAACUUAGUUCAUUGAAAAAAAAAGAUACAAUCAAUACACUACUAGAAUAUAAUAAAAAUACAACUAAUAAUAUAACGGCAAAAACAUCUUUGCUUAUAUGCAUAAAAAUGUAAUAUAGAAAAAAAAGAAUAAAAAAUUAAGACCAAACACUUUGAAAGAUAUUAGACGUCAUUUCUUGAUAUUUAGCUAGCGUUUGGUCAUAGAUUUCUAAAUAUUUUUGGCAAAUAUUAUUUGGGUGAAAAUUUGGGUGAAAUUUCAUCAUGUGUUUGGCCAUAGUAUUUGGGAAACAUAUUUGACUUUUUAAGAAAAAUGUGAUUUAUACCCAUAAGUUUUAAAAACUAUCAAAACUAACCAUAAGUUUGUAUUAGAAGCCAAUGGAUCUUCAUUGCAACAAAUAACUAGUGUCCAUGACAUUGGAGCAAUGCGAUAGUUUAGACUUUAGAGUGAGUGCAACAAACAUCAUUCCAUACAUCGUGAAGUAGACAAAGAACAUGACUUUGUUACCCUGGGCCAAUUGUUCAUCAUUUUCAUCAACAACCAUAUCAUCACUUUCAUAUUCACUGAAUAUUUCAUAACUACUUUGGUGUUCACGUAAAAAAAAUAUGUAAUACAACGCAAAUAACUACUAUAGAGGGUGUUUUUGUAAAAUAUAAAAGUUUGGUAUAAAAUUUAAAUUUUUAAAAGAUCCCAAAUAAUGAGAUUUGGUCCAAAUACUAAAAAAAACUAGUAUUUGAAAAUUUGGGAUAUUUGCCAAAUAAUGACAAAUUGUAUGAAACUAUUUGCCAAAUUUCCCCCCAAAUAUUACUUGGGAAAUCUAUGGCCAAACGGGCCCUAGGGAUUGCUUUUAUACUUAUCCCUAAACAUAAGGAACAUCGCAAAUUCUUGUACGUUCGAUUUUGAUUUGACAUAGAGCUUUUAAAUUAAAAAAUUAAAGAUACGGAAAAAAAAAGUUCUAAAAAAGAAUUUCUUCCUGAAAAAGUAACCUAUAAAACUCCAUCAACAAACUUCUCUUGUUUGGCCUUUUGCCAAUUUCAGAGAAGGAGAAGACAAAUACAACUUUUGUAUGUGGGAAAGCUUUUAACCUCAAAUUCAUUGAAAGAUGUUCCAAUUUUUUUUUGUCCAAAAGGUUCAUCAAUGUUUGGUGAUCAAAAAUUCAAAGACACAAAUUCUGUAGAACAACUUGAGGUUCAUACAAAAAAGUUCACUCCUUUUGUCUGAUUCUUGUUUUCUUUAGAUUUUAAAAUCAAGAUUCACCUUACCCAUUAUUAAACUUGGUGGACUAUAUGUAUGGGGGUGGGUGUGGAGUGGAUGAAGUGAACAAAAUGGCAGCAGUUGCAGUUGGAAAUGGGGGUGAGAUAUGGAAAGCCCAUGGUGCAAUGGUUUUGGUACAGCUUUUCAAUGGUGGUUACCAUGUGAUUACUAAGGUGGCUCUCAAUGUGGGCAUGAAUGAAAUUGUCUUCUGUUUGUAUAGAGAUCUUAUUGCUAUAGCUAUUCUUGCCCCAAUUGCCUAUUUCCGUGAAAAGUUAGUUCUUUUGUCUUUACAUAUAUUCCCCUUUUUACAUGUUUCUUUUAAAUUUUCCAUCCAAGUAGUGUAUUAGUCUCUCUAUCUCUGUGGAGAAAAUACCUGAUUCCUUCUUCUUUGUAAACAAGGAGUGGUCAUAGGCACUUUGUGAGUAUCCUGCACUAGUCAAUGCAGUUGUAAGCUUAAUGUUGCGUUGUCUUGAAGCCUGCUUCGACCCAUACGAUGACAUAACUGGCCUACAAACUUUCUUUCCCCCCUGUUUGUGGAAACUGGAAACCUUGUGGCAAACUCAUAUAGACUUCCUCAGAUAAAUUAUCAUGUAAGGCAUUGGACAAUUGAAUUGAUGUACAUGUAAAUCAUGAAUAGCUGCUCCUCUCUGUGGAGGAUCCCCCACCUUCCUUUUUCUCUUUAUUCUUUUUGUGGUCACAUAGCAGAGAUAUAUUUAUCUAUGCAAAAACAGGCACCCUCUAGCAUACAGUGCUAGACAGAAUACCAACAUUUAACACAAGCUCACAAUCUUAUGACAUAUGAACCUGUCUCACCAAUACCAUCAGAAUCACUUUGCCUACUCUUUCGUGGCUUCUUUUUGGAAUUCAAUGUAGAAGAAGUAGUUUACCUUGGAUUACUGUUGGGCGCGUCCAGUAAAGACCAAGCAACAUGGAACCCAGUGAUUAUAAAAAGUUGCAGGUUGGCAGAAGAUAUACUUUUCGAUAAGGGGUAGAAAGUGUUGAUUAGGAGCACAUUUUUUAACAUUCCCACAUACUAUGUCAAUGCUACAGUCACCAACUAACUAACUGGAGAAUCGAAAAGACUCUAUGUAAUGGAACUUCUUAUGGGACUCAACAAAUGGAGAUAGGAAGUUUUACUUAGGUUGGGAGAUUGUCACAUCCCCAAAGAGUUGGGGAGCCUUGGGUGAAGUUUUCCUUGUUUUGAACAAUACUCUUUUAGGAAAGUGGAUGUCGAGGUUGCGAAUCAAGAAGCACCACCUCUCUGGAGGGAUGUGAUAAUGGAAAAAUAUGGGACCGAGGAAGGAGGUUGGAGGACUAAAAACAUUAAAAUUUCAUUGAAGUGCAAACUUUGGAGGAAUAUUAUGAAGGAGUUGGAGGAGUUCAAUGUCAACAUAACAUUUCAAGAUUGAAGAUGAAGCAGAAUCGGUUUUUGAGAUCACGGGUAGGACAGCAAAAAAACACAUAAAAGGAGAUGCUAGUACAACAUCUUCCGAGUUCAGUAGAGGGGAAUUCAUUGGAACCUAGGUUCAAGAGAAACCUAGGAUUGGGAGCUCGCUGGAUUUCAAGUCUACUUGAAAUGAUCUACAAGCAAAAUACAUCACAUGUUGGCCAAGAUAUAUAAGUGGGAGAGGGGAUAGAUGAAUUGUUCAUGGUUAAGUCUUAAACCAUAAGCUUUUGGUAAGGAACUAGUCGGGUUUCCGCUACUUACGGCUUGAAUUCCUAGGGCGUCAAGGAAAAUAAGCUUCUUUACAUGGUUUGCAUCAAGGGAGGGAUCUUAACAGCUGAAAUUUUGAGAAAUACAUCAACUCGUAUUCUUGCAGAAAUUCGGGCAGAGACAUAGAUCACCUACUCUUGUUCUGCAAGGUAGAAACUCUCUUAUGUGGGAGAUCUUGAAAAGUUUCGGAUUACAGUUGAUAUGAUACUAGGCAUAAUGAAGAAGGCAUUAUUCAACUAGUUCUUUAAAGGGAGGAGAAGACGAAGGGCGUGUGAUGUGGCUCCAUUAGGACUAAUGUGGGUCAUGUGCAAGGAAAGAAAUAUGAGAGCCUUCAAGGGGAUAGGAAAUGAUCUUGUAUAUUAGAGGAACGACCUAUUAUUCCCUAAUUCGUAGUAUCUUUUUGGUGCUUCUGUGAAGUUUUAGUUUGUGUAGAAGACUUGGAGGUUCUUUUUAACUAGAAAGUCUAAAACAUCAUGGAAUAAAAGAUUUCGUGACGUUUGUGCAAAAUCAUAUUCUUUUGUAGAUUCUCUACCCUUUUAUGUUUUUGAUGAAUCUGAUAUACUGCUUAUAUACUGGAGGCUUUUCUACUGUUAAUAAAAUUAUUUUACCUUAUAAAAGGAGUAGCUUAGUCUUUGAUCAGAUGAAACUAUUUGAUGCUGCAAUAUCAUCUAUUUUGUGUUUAUUAGAGAGUUAUGGACUGCCCCUUGUAAGUUCGACUCAAAAUUGUACCAUAUUGCUUCUUGGAGAUUUGUGAUAAUAGCCAAUCUUUUUUUUUUUUGGGGGGCCGAGCGGACAAGGAAUAGAUUUUUGUUAAAAAUUUGUCAGUCAACCUUGAUAAAAGUAGCUAUUGCUAAUAAUUUCUGCGCUUUUAUACUAUUUUAACCCUAUAGGAAUUUCUCUAUGUACAGGAGGUCAAGGCUUCCUCUGAGUAAACGACUACUACUGUCAUUCUUCAUUUUAGGAUUAACUGGGUGAGUUUUGAUGUCCUAAGCAUGUAUGUUUGGAUUUGUUUAGUUAAUUUCCUUAGUUUUGUUAUACUUGAUAAAAUACUAUUCCUGAAAACUCUUUUUUCCUCUGUUGGUAUUGUGACAGUAUUUUCGGUAACCAACUGUUGUUCCUUGUUGGACUUGGCUACACAAAUCCGACUUACGCUGCUGCGUUGCAACCUGCAAUACCAGUCUUUACGUUCAUACUUGCUGUACUUAUGGGGUCAGUAAACUUUUACUCCCUUCAUCUCUGGAUUUUGUAUCUGUCUCCAUCACCCCCGUUUCUUGCAUGUCCUGGGUGUUGAGUGAAUCUUCUGUUGCUUAACUUUGUGAGCUGUAUAAAAUCAUAGUUCUAUCAAGUGUCAAAUGUUGUAUUCUUAAUACCAAAAUUGCUUUGUGCUUUAAGUUGGAGCAAUCUCAAAUACUUUCUUUUGUGCAUAGAAUGAGAAUAAUUACAAUCAACUGUAGAAUCUAUAUCCUCUAAAUUUCUUAAUUGAAAUAUUUUCAUUUUUCCAAAACCUAUAGUUAUUCUCUGUAACUGGGGAAUGCUUGAAUGGAUCUCAAAAGGGUAAACUUUCAGGAAAUUUGUUUAUGUGGUGCUGUUUUGGAAACAUUUGAGGUGAAAGGGUGUUUCUGUUUGCCAAAAAACAACCUAGGUGCUCCUUUAUUUAUUUUAAUAGUGUACCAUUUAAACUGUAAUUUUAUGAUCAAUGAUAGAGUACAGGGUGUAGUUCAUUGUCAAGGUAACACCUGAAGUGGAUCACAGAGGACAUGGUGCUGUUGCAGAAUAGUUUAGUGGAAAUGAGACGGGCAUCUAUGAUGUGGAGAAACUUUAAUGCCUUAAUUUAGUUGAGAUGCAGGCGGUUUCCCUUGGGGAUCUCUCGGUAUAAAAAAAGUGGAAAUGCAAGGGACGGGCUUUUGAAUAAAGUAUUCACUGUGAAGUAGUCCAUGUUCCCUGCUUUUUAAGUCAUCGGUCAUUACAGGAAGGAACAUGAGCUAGUCCAUUGUGCAUUUCUAGAAUUGUCACAUAACUUAUCUGUCGCAGUUGUUGACCUGCUCAAUAUCAUUCAUAUGUGUUAUUUAUGCAGUACAGAAACUGCGAAGCUUCUUACUAUGGAAGGCCAGGCAAAAGUUGGAGGUACCAUUGUUUGUGUUUCUGGGGCGAUUUUGAUGGCUGUAUUCCGUGGUACAGCGGUGUUUGGAGACGGCACAUCAGACUUCACAGCACAAAUUGAGACAAGUGCUAAGGGUCAAUCAGAGCCUGCUGGAUGGCUAAUGUCUAGUUUUCUGGAGUUGGGAUUUGAUAAUUGGCACCUGGGCGUCUUAUGCUUAAUAGGAAACUGUAUGUGCAUGGCAGCAUACAUAGCUUUUCAGGUAACUAGAUAAUCAUUUCAAUUGUUAAUUCAGAUUGGCUUGAUUGUAAUAAAUAGCAGACCGUUCUCAAUGAUUAUACUGAAAAGCUAUGCGCAUAUAUAAUUUACAUAUAUAUCUAGUCAUCCCUUAAAAAGUUUUCCCCCGAUCUUCCUUGUAUAUUGGACCUUUCACGAUGGACCUCCUUCUUUAAUAAUAUGCUCAUGAAGGUGAUUUUCACAUGCUUUGGGUGAGUGGCCUGUGAUGCACUAGCAUUUGCAGGCGGGCCUUUGAAAUUGUGAAAUUGGUAUUGAGUGAAUUUAUACAACUGAUUGAAACCUGAUAAAAAGGUUUAAUGUACUAACAAUCUUUGAAAAGAAAAAUCUUGCUAUGUGAAAUACAGAUGUAGCUUACCUUGUAAAAAGUAUUAAAUGUAACUUAAUUAUGUCUAAUACCCCUUCCAUCAUUUUCUUUCUUGUCUAGGGAUUUAAUUUUCGCUCUCACGGUUCUUAGGAAAGGCUGGUAAUGGUUUGUUGAUUCAUCUUGAUUGUUGAUUGGUUUGCUUUUGUACAAUCUCAACUAUAGUCUAGUGGGUUUAUUUCUUUCUUUUUCUAUUUUCUUCUUUUGUUGGGGGUGAAGAUGACAAAGAGGUUGCUUAAAUUUGAAUUGCCUUUUAGUAUCACUGUUUGCUUACAGGAACAACUCUUAUGUCCUAAAAUGAAAAUGAAACCUAUAUAUCUAGAUGGUCUUUCAAUAGGAAGUAUAAUGUCCUUUACCUUUGCCCUUACAUUUUAUCAUUUCAUAGAAGAUUUAAAAUAAUGUCCUUUACCCUUUCCUUGUUAAAGGUGAUCACGUUCAGUUUCAUGAUAUUCUCUCCUAUUUGGUUUCUGCUCUUGUGAACUUUGAUCUACCAAUUGCUAUUCAUCUGAAAGAGAUCAAUUUGCUCAUCUUGCCACUUUGUUGGACACCUUUUACUUAAUCUUAGACCUGUUAAGUUUUGAUUAUGUAAAGUAAUCCAGAUUAUAUAAAUUAAUGAUCAUUUGAUAAUUGGUUAAGAAAGAUUACAUUAAUGAACAAUAGCUAGAUACUAAUUCC